rnacentral:rRNA from 1 species
GAUGAACGCUGGCGGCAGGCUUAAUACAUGCAAGUUGAGGGGCAGCAUGAUAUACGCGAGUAUAUUGAUGGCGACCGGCGGACGGGUGAGUAAUAGGUAGGAGACCUACCUCAUACAGGGGGAUAGCAUAGAGAAAUCUGUGGUAAUACCCCAUGAGGUUAUAUGAAUAGAGGCAUAUAAUCAAAGCAUAAGCGAUUAUGCGGUAUGAGAGGGGCCUACUGACCAUUAGCUAGUUGGUGAGGUAAGGGCUCACCAAGGCGAAGAUGGUUAGGGGUUUUGAGAGAGAGACCCCCCACAUUGGAACUGAGAGACGGUCCAGACUCCUACGGGAGGCAGCAGUAGGGAAUAUUGGGCAAUGGGCGAAAGCCUGACCCAGCCAUGCCGCGUGAAGGAAGACGGCCUUAUGGGUUGUAAACUUCUUUACUACGCGAAUAGAGGUUAGUACGAGAUACUAAUAGGAAGGUAGUGUAGUAAAAAGCAACCGGCUAACUCCGUG